CCGCCCGUCGCUACUACCGAUUGAAUGGCUCAGUGAGGCCUUCGGACUGGCCCAGGGAGGUCGGCAACGACCACCCAGGGCCGGAAAGUUGGUCAAACUCGGUCAUUUAGAGGAAGUAAAAGUCGUAACAAGGUCUCCGUAGGUGAACCUGCGGAGGGAUCAUUA
rnacentral:rRNA from 1 species